rnacentral:rRNA from 1 species
GACCAGACUCCUACGGGAGGCAGCAGUGGGGAAUAUUGCACAAUGGGGGAAACCCUGAUGCAGCGACGCCGCGUGAGUGAAGAAGUAUUUCGGUAUGUAAAGCUCUAUCAGCAGGGAAGAAGAAGGACGGUACCUGAGUAAGAAGCCCCGGCUAACUACGUGCCAGCAGCCGCGGUAAUACGUAGGGGGCAAGCGUUAUCCGGAUUUACUGGGUGUAAAGGGAGCGUAGACGGCGAAGAAAGUCUGAAGUGAAAGCCCGCGGCUCAACCCCGGGACUGCUUUGGAAACUGUAUGGCUGGAGUGCUGGAGAGGCAAGCGGAAUUCCUAGUGUAGCGGUGAAAUGCGUAGAUAUUAGGAAGAACACCAGUGGCGAAGGCGGCUUGCUGGACAGUAACUGACGUUGAGGCUCGAAAGCGUGGGGAGCAAACAGGAUUAGAUACCCCCGUA